rnacentral:rRNA from 1 species
AUUGAACGCUGGCGGCAGGCCUAACACAUGCAAGUCGAACGGUAACAGGAAGAAGCUUGCUUCUUUGCUGACGAGUGGCGGACGGGUGAGUAAUGUCUGGGAAACUGCCUGAUGGAGGGGGAUAACUACUGGAAACGGUAGCUAAUACCGCAUAACGUCGCAAGACCAAAGAGGGGGACCUUCGGGCCUCUUGCCAUCGGAUGUGCCCAGAUGGGAUUAGCUAGUAGGUGGGGUAACGGCUCACCUAGGCGACGAUCCCUAGCUGGUCUGAGAGGAUGACCAGCCACACUGGAACUGAGACACGGUCCAGACUCCUACGGGAGGCAGCAGUGGGGAAUAUUGCACAAUGGGCGCAAGCCUGAUGCAGCCAUGCCGCGUGUAUGAAGAAGGCCUUCGGGUUGUAAAGUACUUUCAGCGGGGAGGAAGGGAGUAAAGUUAAUACCUUUGCUCAUUGACGUUACCCGCAGAAGAAGCAUCGGCUAACUCCGUG